rnacentral:snRNA from 1 species
AUACUUACCUGGCACAGGAGUGACUUUGAUCAAGAAGGAAUGUCCUCCCAAGGUGAGGCCUCGGCAUUGCACUUGGCUGAGGUUGACCCUUGCGAUUCCCCCAAAUGUGUGGAACUCGGGUGUAUAAUUUAUGGUAGCGGGGGACUGCGUUCGCGCUAACCCCUA